AACUAUAUUUGAAAUUAUUAAUUGCAUCCCGUUUAACAAUAAUGCAAUAUAUUAGCAAAGUUACCUGCAGUAAGUAGCAGCCCACCAUUGGCAACUACUACUACAAUCAGGUGACAAAAUGUAUUUUUUAGUGAUUUUUAUGUUAUUUUAUAUGAUUUAUUUCCAGAAACAAUUCCAUGGUAACGUCUCUGCCACCAGUCGGUGAGUGUAACUUGUUGACGGUCCCUAAAACAGGUAGCAGCCAGAACGUAAAUGACGUUGUUGCACAGACAUCGAUGGCGACAACAUGUGUUUGUGAUUUUCGCGAUACGCCGUCCUAAACCGUCCUCAACAUACUAAGCCCUAUGGAAGGGGAGAUUUGGAGGUACCUGGUCAGGUCUUGGUCAGCCUUCAAAUCCCAGAUGUGGAGACUGCAGGGAUACCUCACAGAAAAGACACACAGUUGUUACAUGCUCCCAUAGGCAGAUUGCUGCAUGGCAUUCACCGCUUAUUCAAAUUGAAGAGGUUGAAGCAGUCUUCCUUGUGGUCACUUGCCAUAACAAUGUCAUGUGUUUUAUGAAAACACCAGGGUUUUUUCUAAACAAGGGAACAGGGGCGCUGCGCCCCGAUACUCCCGGCGUGCGCCAUCCUACCGAAAUGCCGACUGAACCUGUCAGACUUGGAUCUGUACUUACAUGCUGCUGUACAACAUACACUAUUUCUCAAAACGAUCUUUUCUCUGCGAAAAUAUCCCAACACCACCACCUGACAAUCUGUCUGAUCCUCAAAUAACUUAUAAUUACUCCAAAAAUAUUCCGAUCCGAAUUGGAGUUUCCCAGACCGAGUCGACAUGCUAACGUUAAAGUUAUUAGCAGCUAGCUAGCUAGCUACUAUGUAUUUGAAUGGGUUUUUGGUCUAGGCGCUAAGAUGCUAAGCAAGUAUACAAGACCAUUCCAGUUCUCUCUGCACAAAGCGGUUUCAAUGAACGACAGAAAUAAACAAAUG